AUCCCAUCCCGAACUCAGCAGUGAAACGAUGUAUCGCCGGUGGUAGUGUGGGGUUUCCCCAUGUGAGAGUAGGUCAUCGUCAAGA
rnacentral:rRNA from 1 species